UUGCGAAAGCCGGAUUAAUACCGCAUACGCUCUAUGGAGGAAAGCGGGGGACUCGCAAGGGCCUCGCGCUCAAGGGGCGGCCGAUGGCGGAUUAGCUAGUUGGUGGGGUAAAGGCCUACCAAGGCGACGAUCCGUAGCUGGUCUGAGAGGACGACCAGCCACACUGGGACUGAGACACGGCCCAGACUCCUACGGGAGGCAGCAGUGGGGAAUUUUGGACAAUGGGGGCAACCCUGAUCCAGCAAUGCCGCGUGUGUGAAGAAGGCCUUCGGGUUGUAAAGCACUUUUGUCCGGAAAGAAAACCUGCCUGUUAAUACCGGGUGGGGAUGACGGUACCGGAAGAAUAAGCACCGGCUAACUACGUGCCAGCAGCCGCGGUAAUACGUAGGGUGCGAGCGUUAAUCGGAAUUACUGGGCGUAAAGCGUGCGCAGGCGGUUUGCUAAGACCGAUGUGAAAUCCCCGGGCUUAACCUGGGAACUGCAUUGGUGACUGGCAAGCUAGAGUAUGGCA
rnacentral:rRNA from 1 species